GAUGGACGCUGGCGGCGUGCUUAACACAUGCAAGUCGAACGAUGAAGCCCAGCUUGCUGGGUGGAUUAGUGGCGAACGGGUGAGUAACACGUGAGUAACCUGCCCUUAACUCUGGGAUAAGCCUGGGAAACUGGGUCUAAUACCGGAUAGGAGCGUCCACCGCAUGGUGGGUGUUGGAAAGAUUUAUCGGUUUUGGAUGGACUCGCGGCCUAUCAGCUUGUUGGUGAGGUAAUGGCUCACCAAGGCGACGACGGGUAGCCGGCCUGAGAGGGUGACCGGCCACACUGGGACUGAGACACGGCCCAGACUCCUACGGGAGGCAGCAGUGGGGAAUAUUGCACAAUGGGCGAAAGCCUGAUGCAGCGACGCCGCGUGAGGGAUGACGGCCUUCGGGUUGUAAACCUCUUUCAGUAGGGAAGAAGCGAAAGUGACGGUACCUGCAGAAGAAGCACCGGCUAACUACGUG
rnacentral:rRNA from 1 species